AUCAAUUCUCAGUCCUCAUCCUACUGAAAUACCAGGAUCAUUUUGAUAUAUUGAAUUACUCUCUCCUCUUUGAAAUUCUUCACUUGAAAAUUCUUUAUAAUUUCUUAAAAUUUCUUGGUUAGUUUUGGUUACACAUGAUAGUAGAAUCCAUUUUGAUAUAAUUUUAUGAACAUGGAAUAUAUCUUAUUCUAGUUAAGAGUCCCAUUCUUUUUUAAAUUAAUUUUAAAAAUUUAUAUAUGACAGAAGAAUGCAUUACAAUUCUUAUUACACAUAUAGAGCACAUUUUUCAUCUCUCUAUAGAGAGAUCUAUAGAUCUCUAUAGAGAGAUGAAAAAUUGUAUAUACAAAGUAUAUUCACACCAAUUUGUGUCUUCAUACAUGUACUUAGGGUGAUGAUGUCCAUCACAUUCCACCAUCAUUUCUAAUCUCAUGAACACUCACUUUCCCUCCCACCCCUCUGCCCUAUCUAGAGUUUGUCUAUUCCUCCCAUGCUCUCUCUCCCUACCCCAGUAUGAAUCAGCCUCCUUAUAUCAGAGAAAAUAUUUGUCAUUUGGCUUUUAGGGAUUGGCUACCUUCACUUAGCAAUUUCUUCUUUAACUCCAUCCAUUUACCUGCAAAUGCCAUGAUUUUAUUUUCUUUUAUUGCUGAGUAAUAUUUCAUUGUGUGUGUAUAUAUAUAUAUAUAUAUAUAUAUAUAUAUAUAUAUAUAUAUGCCACUUUUUUUUAUCCAUUCAUCUAUUGAAGGGCAUCUAGGUUGGUUCCACAGUUUAGCUAUUGAAGAGCCCAUUCUUAUGGAUGUACAUGAUGGUGGGAUUCACUUUGUUGUUUUCAUAUAUAUAUACAUGGGAAAAUUAUGUCAGAUUAUCAGAUUCAUUCUUUCCUUUGCCUAUUUUUCCUCCCUUCCCUCCCACAUUACUGUUGUUUUCUUUCUUUCUUUCUUUCUCUUUCUUUCUUUCUUUCUCUUUCUUUCCUUCUUUCUUUCCUUCUUUCUUUCUUUCUUUCUUUCUUUCUUUCUUUCUUUCUUUCUUUCUUU
rnacentral:lncRNA from 1 species